CUCUACUUAUAGGGAAAAAUUGACCACCAAGUAACAAAUCCUAAAAUAUCUCUAAACUAUAGACAUUCACGUCAAAUAAAAUUCUAUUUAUAACAGAUCAUGCUUAUUGUAUUUUAAAAUAAAAAUCAUCACAUCCACAAACCUCAUAAUGCGAUUAGCAUGCACUUCUUCGGCUACAUCAGUCAUGUUUAUAGUCGUCAAUAUGGGCUUGGCCCGUUUGACCAUCCCAGCCCAACCCAAUCAACAUGUAAUUUAGUAGGGCUGUGCUAGAAUUUUUGAAGCCCAUUUAAAUAUGAGGCUAUUAAGCCCAGCCCGAGUAAGUGCGUAGCCCAUGAGGCUUGAGUGAGGCUGGGUUUAGCCGGCCCGUGGGCCUAAUAAAAAUACAACAGCAACAACAAUAACAACCAAGUAUAAUCCCACUUAGUGGGGUCUGGGUAAGGUAGUGUGUACGCAGGCCUUACCCCUACCCUAGGGUAGAGAGGCUGUUUCCAAAUAGAUACUUGACAUCCUUCCCUCCAAGAACUUCCCACCUUGCUCUUGGGGAGUGCUCUUGGGGAGACUCGUUCUCACAACCUCUUGGUUGGAAG
rnacentral:lncRNA from 1 species